AGGGGAACCAAGAGCCAGUACGUCUUUGGACUGGUGGCAGACACUGGAGCACCCGGAGGAAAUCCAUGCAGAUAUGGAGGGAACUCCAUACUGAUAGCUACCCAGUCGAGAAGCGCAGGAACUCAAAUCACUCAAGGAGAAGUCUAAAGGGUUACUAAAGUAUUGUGGAAGACUCAUUCCACACAGCAAGCACUCUUAAGACAUUAAAUGAACAUUUCAGUGGUUACAAACUUGGAAAUGGACAGAGGCUUGUAAUACUCCGUUUC